rnacentral:rRNA from 1 species
CAGGCUUAACACAUGCAAGUCGAGCGGUAACAGGUCCAGCUUGCUGGAUGCUGACGAGCGGCGGACGGGUGAGUAAUGCAUAGGAAUCUGCCCAGUAGUGGGGGAUAACCUGGGGAAACCCAGGCUAAUACCGCAUACGCCCUACGGGGGAAAGCAGGGGAUCUUCGGACCUUGCGCUAUCGGAUGAGCCUAUGUCGGAUUAGCUAGUUGGUAGGGUAAAGGCCUACCAAGGCGACGAUCCGUAGCUGGUCUGAGAGGAUGAUCAGCCACAUCGGGACUGAGACACGGCCCGAACUCCUACGGGAGGCAGCAGUGGGGAAUAUUGGACAAUGGGGGCAACCCUGAUCCAGCCAUGCCGCGUGUGUGAAGAAGGCUYUCGGGUUGUAAACGCACUUUCAGCGAGGAAGAANGCCUGGUGGCCAAUACCCACCAGGAAGGACAUCA